rnacentral:tRNA from 1 species
CAGUAAAUAGUUUAAUUAAAAUUUUAAUUUUGGAGAUUAAUGAUAAGCAAAUUGCUUUUUACUGA